AUCCUAUCACCCAAAACCUCGGUUUUGGCGUGGAGAGUGAGCGUCAUAGCAGCCUUUACUGGUAGCUACGUCGGUCGAAAUAGAUGUGGUGACGCCUCACAACCGAAAGGUAUGUGGUGUGCCGUGAUGUAGCAGCCUUCUUGUAAGGAGCAACAUCAUCGCACAUGAAGCCAUAUGCCAUCAAGUAGGUGUGGGUUUAGCUAAUUUUUAUUUAGGAGUAUUUAUACUCUUAGGACUCGUUCUCAAAUCAGGCGAGACUACCCGCUGAACUUAAGCAUAUCACUAAGCGGAGGAAAAGAAACUAACCAGGAUUCCCCUAGUAACGGCGAGUGAACCGGGAAGAGCUCAAGCUGAAAAUCUUCGGAAUUGUAGUCUAUAGGUGCGGACUCGCGUGGACCCGGGUAUAAAUCCGUUCCUGGAAUUGGGUGCCAGAGAGGGUUAGAGCCCCGUCUUUGACUCGGUGAACCACGCGUGGCGAGUACGCACC
rnacentral:rRNA from 1 species